rnacentral:misc_RNA from 1 species
GAUGAAGAACGUAGCAAAAUGCGAUAAGUAAUGUGAAUUGCAGAAUUCAGUGAAUCAUCGAAUCUUUGAACGCACAUUGCGCCCGCCAGUAUUCUGGCGGGCAUGCCUGUUCGAGUGUCAUUUCAACCCUCAAGCACAGCUUGGUGUUGGGACUCGCGUUAAUUCGCGUUCCUCAAAUUGAUUGGCGGUCACGUCGAGCUUCCAUAGCGUAGUAGUAAAACCCUCGUUACUGGUAAUCGUCGCGGCCACGCCGUUAAACCCCAACUUCUGAAUGUUGACCUCGGAUCAGGUAGGAAUACCCGCUGAACUUAAGCAUAUCAAUAAGCGGAGGA